UAAGAAGGCCAGAAGGCUAACUUCAUUUCAGGCAAGUGAGGAGCGAACAUACAUGUAACCGUAUUCCAAGUCUAUCACGUAUUUCCAUGUCGAAAAAAUUAAAACACAUAACAAUAAGUGAUUAAUUUGGAAUAGCGCCACAAUGAUAUCCUCGUAAAAUUUUCUCCUGUGUGGGAGGUGAUGAAUUCAUGGCGGCAGUUGACAAGAACAAAUGAAAGGGAUGGCAUGGUAGGCAGCAGCAUGUGGGUGAAUAUAAUUUCUUUGUGCCCAUCACUAACUUUUGUCUUCUCUUUUAGCACAUCGCAGUUUGCUCCACUCGCCAUUCUUCUUGGACCCUUUCUGUGGCUUUAUUUUGGUCCUCUACUAUUAAUAUUCCUCAACAACAAAACCAUGUUUAAACAAAAUAGCACUUGGGAGGAAUAUGCAGGUUCCUACGAGUUUGCAUUAUUUGGAAAGGAGAGCCAUUAU
rnacentral:lncRNA from 1 species